rnacentral:rRNA from 1 species
CCUACGGGCGGCAGCAGUGAGGAAUAUUGGUCAAUGGACGAGAGUCUGAACCAGCCAAGUAGCGUGAAGGAUGACUGCCCUAUGGGUUGUAAACUUCUUUUAUAUGGGAAUAAAAUGUUCCACGUGUGGGAUUUUGUAUGUACCAUAUGAAUAAGGAUCGGCUAACUCCGUGCCAGCAGCCGCGGUAAUACGGAGGAUCCGAGCGUUAUCCGGAUUUAUUGGGUUUAAAGGGAGCGUAGGUGGAUUGUUAAGUCAGUUGUGAAAGUUUGCGGCUCAACCGUAAAAUUGCAGUUGAAACUGGCAGUCUUGAGUACAGUAGAGGUGGGCGGAAUUCGUGGUGUAGCGGUGAAAUGCUUAGAUAUCACGAAGAACUCAGAUUGCGAAGGCAGUUCACUGGACUGCAACUGACACUGAGGCUCGAAAGUGUGGGUAUCAAACAGGAUUAGAUACCCCUGUAGUC